UUUAUUUCCAAUGAGCUAAUGAGGAAAAAGGGGAUGAUGAAAAAACAGGGAGUGGGAGCAAUUUGGAAAUGGAAAGAAUGCUGAAUACCUACAUGAUGCCUAAUUCAGAAGAACAUUCUGUUUUCAAAUUAAGAACAAUGUGUUUGCACUUAAUGAAACAACCUCUACUGCUCUUCAAGAGGACUCAGGAUACCGAUUCUCGAGGCCCCUGGCGGUCCCCUUGGCAUAAAACACUUCAAUCACACGUAGCUUUCUGGAGCAACAGACCAUGGGCUGAGGAUUGAGUUUCCGGGAGCCACAGCAAGGCUCUCCAAUGCCAUCUUUCUGUCUCACUGCUGAAAGUCAAGAAUCACAGUGCUGAUCUUCAGAAACUGUGGGUUCAGAAACUCACCUGGUCACUAGAAUUACUCUCCCCACUUUACCUCUGCUACCCCGGAGAUCCCCGAGACCAGUCCCUUUUGGGGAGCCCUUGAUGGCAUCUUCACUAGUAGCCCUUUGGCUCACAUGGGAAUACCCCCAGGGACUCCUCGCAAGAGGGCUAUGAGGGAGGCUUCAUUAUUCUAGUGUUGAAGCCCAGAGUCUCAACCUAAUCAGCGCUUUCCUUCAAGUUCGAGCCUCCAGGAGGAGCCAAGGAGUUUCAACAGCGUUUCAAAGUUCGCAGUUUGUAUUCUGCUGCACCAGAGACAUCAUUGAAUCUUACAGCUGAUGCUACCUUCUUUCCCACACCUGGAUUCACCCAAAGUCCUGGAGAACAGCACAUGGUGGAGAGAAACCCCUAGCCAAUUUUCCCUUCUGAAAGAUAAGAGCAAGACACCUGGGUGAACUGGUGGCUGAGGGACCUCCGCUCCUGGAUACAUGUCCGUAAUCAUUCAUGGAGUGAGAAAAUCGGCCUGUAUGUUACCACUAAAGAAGCUAGUCUGUAAGAAUGUAUUGAUUUAAGUAUAUAUAAAAAUACAUAGAGUAAAUUAUAACUCCCCUAGGCACAAUUUCAUUAUAUACCUUAAAAAAUACAUAGAUGCCACUCACUUCACUGCUAACAAAAAUGACAAUAUCAUUUAUCAUUCCAACCAUGGUACUUUUUUUUUUUUUUUUUUGAGUCAGAGUCUUGCUCUGUUGCCCAGGCUGGAGUGCAGUGGUGCAAUCUUGGCUAACUGCAAUCUCCGCCUCCCGGGUUCAAGCGAUUCUCCUGCCUCAGCCUCCCGAGUAGCUGGGACUACAGGCGUGUGCCACCACGCCCAGAUAAUAAUUUUUUGAAUUUUUAGUAGAGAUGAGGUUUCGCCGUGUUAGCCAGGAUGGUCUCAAUCUCCUGACCUCGUGAUCCGCCUGCCUCGGCCUCCCAAAGUGCUGGGAUUACAGGCAUGAGCCACCACACCCGGCCCCAUGGUAUUUUGACUACAAAAUGAGACACAAUACAUGAAAAAGUGGUCUACUGUGGAUCACUACUCUCAAUGAAAAGAAACAAACUAUUGAUACAUUUGACAAACCAAGACUUUCUCCCCAAAACUGGGCUGUGUGGUCCCCUAACUCUACCUGAUAGGGAAAAGAAAAGUGAGUUGGGAAUGAGGAAAGUAUUUUUUUGGAGGGAGGUUUGUUUUAGGUUGGUUUUUGUUGUUGUUAUGAUUUGACUGUGAUUCCUCCAUAGAGUAAAACACAGUCAGUUCUUGUUGUUUGUGGUUAUUAUGUUCUUUAAAGAACAUAAUUGCUGUGAGCACUGAAUUAGCAAAUACUGAACUGUUGCUCCCACGGGAAAUACAGAGGACGUUCCUUCGAGCCUGUGGUCACACAUUGUCAUAAAACAAUCGAUACACGACCUUGUUUUAUGUGUGUUUCUGUUAAAGGACACCUUGUUUAACAUACAGCAUUGAUUUAUUAACAUUGAAUUCAUGACCAACAGUACUAUAACUAACGCUUGAACAAGGCUUAUCAACACAUCUCUUUUCUUCAUACGGUACAUCAAAGACUUCUUGCACUUAGGAAUACUAGAUGGCACUAUAUCACUGUAGUGAAAUCAGCAGCAAAAAGCACAACAUGAGAAAAAUGUGGCACUAAAUAGAACACACACCAAAAGGACAGUUGUGUACAAUAUGAGAUAUAAAACAGGAGCAAGGCAGAAUGUCGCCUUGUUGAACCUCAUCUGGGAACAUGAACUUUGGGUGACAAUUUUUUCGCUGCUCUCCACAUGUCUGUGAAGGGACAUGAAAUAGCUGUGGCUAUUGAUUUGAGAGUUACAGGUAAUUUUAGGGAGUAGGCAGGUCUGUAAAUAUGAAAUCCAUGAGUAAUGAUGACUGACUGUAGAUUCUUGUCCCUAACUCUUAGGUGUACCUUUAUUUAAAGUUAGGCUCACCAAGUAGAUUUCAAGAGGUCUCUAAGAGUGGAUCUAAAAUGGAGAACAAAUGACCUCAGGAGAUGUAGAUAAAAUAUGUCUCUUCAAACUGGUUUUGCACCAGUAAUGAGACAGUGACGCAAGUCCUCUGUAUCCUCGCUGUGCUUGUUUUUGUCCCUAUUUUCAUCAUUCUGCUAGACGUGCAGUAAUACUUUUCUGUGGUUUUAAUUUGCAUUUCUCUAAUAGUACAGUUUGGCAGUUUUUUAAACAGUUAAAUAUUCAACUGCAUUUAUAUAUGACCCAGCAAUUGUACUCUUUGGCAUUUAUUCCAGGGAAAUGAGAACAAACUUGAACAUUGUGGCACAUCUAUUUAUAAUAACCAAGAACUGGAAAUAAUCAGAUAUCUCUCCAUGGAAAAAUGGUUAUUAAACAAAACAUAGUACAACUUACUAUGGAUCACUACUCCCAAUAAAAAGGAACAAACUGUUGAUGCAUUCAGCAACCUUAAUGAAUCACCAAAGAACUAUCCUAAGUGAAAAUAAAGCCAGUUUCCCAAGAUUAUAUAUGGUAGGAUUCCCUUUAUAUAACAUCCUUGAAAUGAGAAAAUGAUAGAAAUGGAGAAUAGACUAGUGGUUGCCAGGGGGUUAAGGUGGGAAUCCAUGCAGGAAGGAAGUGGCUAUAACGAUAAAAGAGAAACAUGAGGAAUCCUUGCUGUGAUGAAAAUGCUCUGAAUCUUGACUGUAUCUAUGUCAGUAUCUUGGUUAUAAUAUUGUCUUAUGCUUUUGCAAGAUGUUACCAUUGGGGAAUACUAGGCAUAAGCACAUGAGAUCCCUCUCUCGUAGUUCUUACAACUCCGUGUGAAUCUAUGAUUACCUCAGUAUAAAAAGCUUAUUUAUAAAUAAAUGAAGGAAAAAUAAAGACUUUCUCAAACCAGCCAAACUACACACCACACACACACACACACACACACACACACACACACACACACACAGAGUUUUAUUCUUUCCAAGUUUGAACUGAUUCUUAU
rnacentral:lncRNA from 10 species